UCCCCUUCAUUCUCUCUCUUCUCUCUCACAACUCACACCUCACCAGUCUCUCUCUCUCUCUCUGGCGAUUCCAGAUCCAGAUCUGGAUCUAGGGUUUGUCUGCUAUCUCUCUCGCGAUCCAAGCUGUUCAGAUCCGCCUUUCCAUCGAGAUUGAAGCGGUGGACAAAGAUUGAAGCGGCGCGAGCUAGGGUUGUUACGAGACUCAGGUUAACUCCAGCAAGAAUUCCGAAGUCUGGUGAGGCUCCGGCGAGUUCUCCGGUGACUGAUGAAACUUGGUCUAUAUCUAAAGCGGCCUUUGGCUUGCUGGUUAGUGGCCCUUCAGGGCAAAUGACUUGGAUUCGAGGCGGCCCAACAAGUUUGGAUAUCAGGAAUAUAAAAGAGGCUAUUGACGAAUGGAAGCGGUGGUGGUGACUACCGACGGCGGAGAUGACCUCCGGUCGCCGGACAAGUGAUGAUUGACGAUGAUAGUUGCUUGGGUGCUGGUCUACCAAGUUUGGAUGCAACUGGAGGUUUGGUGAGGUAAUCCGGUUCAAUAUGCGUAUGUUUGGAACAACUACUGUAAACGGCAGGUUGAAAGGUGGGCAAAACAAUACAUUGCUUCUACUGGUGAAGGAAAAUCCGAAAGGAACCCCUAAAAUGUUAACAUUGAUUGAUUGGAUACGUGAAAAUAUUUCGUCUGAAGAUUCUUCAGGAAGCACGGCAGGUCUUCUCCACGGUGAUUUUCGGAUGGAUAAUUUGGUUUUUCAUCCUAUUGAGGUUUGUAUUUUAAUAUUAUUUUGCACUCAAGUUCAUUUAUAUGUUCGUUAAUAUUUGAAUAACAUGUAGAAAUUUUUAAUCACAGGAUAGAUUAAUUGGUAUUCUUGAUUGGGAGUUAUCGACUCUCGAAAAUCAGAUGUGUGAUAUUACAUGCAGUUUUAUGCUAAACUACCUUUUGUUUAUGAUACUAAACUCACAUUUGUAACGUCGAAAUAAGCCCUUUUAUUUUGUUUUCUUUCUGCCAGUUGUAUAUUGCAGAUUUUUCACAGGGUAAAGUGAAACAUAACAAUGGUUUUGAACUCGACAUUUCUGAAGGAGUUCCUUCUUUAGAAGAAUAUCUUGCAGACUACUGCUCUGCUGCCAUAAGAUCAUCUCAGAUGAUGUUAAUUAUUCAUUUAAUACACAUAAUGGAUUAUUAACCGUAACAAUACCUAACGUUAUUUUUUAUUUUAUUUUAGGGAAGACAAUGGCCUGUUGCCGGUUGGAAGUUUUAUAUCGCAUUUUCACUUUUUCGUGGUGCAUCAAUCUUAGCUGGUGUCCACAGUAGAUAUAUCAUGGGUAAUGCAUUAGGUGGAAAGCGCGCUCAAGAUGCAGGGGAAAAAGCCAACGGUCUUAUACAAAUUGCUUGGUCUUAUAUACAAAGGGAAAAUGUUCUGUCACAAUCCUCCAUCUGUUACAAAAGGAAAAGAUGAAGGGCUGGAAAGUGGAGGCAGAUUUAUUCCGAAUAAAAAAUGAUGACAGUGAUCUGGUUUCAGGAAUUUUCCUACAUGGCCUUGUUAGUUUUGUGGCACUAAUUCAACCUGAUUUCUCAUCUUCAAGAAAAGGGGUGUUUGGGAGAAACACAACGCCUGUGUGUGGGACAUAAUCUAUUGGACCAAGGGUUAGAUUACAAGUCAAAUAGGUUCAGGAGUAAAAAAAAAAGAAAGAGGCCGGCUUGGUUUGGGCCACCCCACAAACCGCUUUGUGUCGAUUUUUUAAAAUAUGUAAAGCUAGGGAAGAGCAGUUGGUACUUGGUACCGAAUCAUACCGUAUUGAUUGAAUUUGGGAUACCAUGUAUGAAAUGAAGCUUUACUCGACUAUGUGGCAAUUACGCUUAGUGUUGGGCUGCUGAGCUUAUAGAAGAAAACCGGUUUAGAUUGGGUUGAUUUAUGCUUGUUGGGGGAAAACAUGAAAGUCAUGUUCUUAACUAGAAAUUGGAAAAAAAAUAGCGUUUUUAGUCCAUACACAAUUAAAUAAACUAACUAAAAAGUUUUUUUUUAUUUUUAGUGCCCAAUUAAAUAAGUUUUCUUUUAUAACCAAAGUGUAAACUUUUAUUAAAAUCUCGAGAGUUAUAAAUGCGUUUACUAAAUGAAUAAAUAAAAAGUUACAUAAUGAAGCCGAUGGCUGCAUGUGACACGUUCCGUUCAACAGCAUGAUAUCAAUGUCAUGAUGGCUGCAUGUGACACGUUCCGUUCAGGAGUAGUUGACCAGCUUCGCACUCAUGCGUGUAGGCUUCAGAUCCCGAUAUUUGAAAAGGGAUAUGAGAAAGACCCUGCGAUUGUUGCUAAGGAAGCAAUUCAGGAAGCCACCCGUAACGGAUCAGACGUUGUUCUCAGCGGGUCGCACGCAGGACAAUGAACCGUUGAUGCGUGCACUAUCCAAGCUUAUAUACGUCAACAGUCCAGAUCUGGUACGUUUUAUCGGGGAAGCAUUGGUCCGACAACCAUAUCUCCUAUUUUGGUUGUAUAAAAUCCUUUGGGACAUGUGUAUAGUUCUUACGGUGGAUGUUGUGGUGAUUCCCAACAAAGGGGGCGUGGCCAUCUAUUGAAGUCAUCACAGGUGCAAGUGGGUUUCGUUCUUGGUAGAUUUGGAUCUGUUUCGGCCUCGGUCAAACGGGUCAACACUAUUAAUCAUGUGUAUUUUUGCAAAAUUAGGAUGCUUUUUUGCUUGACUUAAAUUGGGACAAAUGUAGAUGUCCUUAUAUUGAUCUUUAUCUUUGUAUGUAUAACUGUCUCAAGCGGUACAAUGAUAUAUUUGGUGUGUUUUGUUUCCAAUGACAAUAUUUGUGAAUAACAAAUUUGACAUAUUCAGGCU